GGUCCCAGAUGAUUCUUAUUGUUUGAUGUCAUUGAGUUGGAUCUUUAUUCUUUAAAUCUUUUGCAGUAUUCAUUUAUGGCAAUGGACAGCAGCCAGGGGCCAUAUUCAUCCUCUAGGAGUGGUGAUUUGGGAUCGGUUUUCCUUGGCCCAUAGCCCGGCCUUGACCAUUGAUUAGGGCAAAGAAGGCGAAAUGGGCUACAACUUGAUCCCAGAUCACCACUAGCCUACAGUUAUGAAUUUGGCCCAGGAGAUCCAGCAGAGCUAACAGGACACUGGGAUCUAUCACCAGCUCUCUGGAAUUAGCAAUAAGAAGUCGAGUUGCCACAAAACAGCACAAGAAGCCUUACAUAAUGGAGAAAUUGUAUUCAUUUAUGGCAAUGGACAGCAGCCAGGGGCCAUAUUCAUCCUCUAGGAGUGGUGAUUUGGGAUCGGUUUUCCUUGGCUCAUAGCCUGGCCUUGACCAUUGAUUAGGGCAAAGAAGGCGAAAUGGGCUACAACUUGAUCCCAGAUCACCACUAGCCUACAGUUAUGAAUUUGGCCCAGGAGAUCCAGCAGAGCUAACAGGACACUGGGAUCUAUCACCAGCUCUCUGGAAUUAGGAAUAAGAAGUCAAGUUGCCACAAAACAGCACAAGAAGCCUUACAUAAUGGAGAAAUUGUAUUCAUUUAUGGCAAUGGACAGCAGCCAGGGGCCAUAUUCAUCCUCUAGGAGUGGUGAUUUGGGAUCGGUUUUCCUUGGCCCAUAGCCUGGCCUUGACCAUUGAUUAGGGCAAAGAAGGCGAAAUGGGCUACAACUUGAUCCCAGAUCACCACUAGCCUACAGUUAUGAAUUUGGCCCAGGAGAUCCAGCAGAGCUAACAGGACACUGGGAUCUAUCACCAGCUCUCUGGAAUUAGCAAUAAGAAGUCGAGUUGCCACAAAACAGCACAAGAAGCCUUACAUAAUGGAGAAAUUGUAUUCAUUUAUGGCAAUGGACAGCAGCCAGGGGCCAUAUUCAUCCUCUAGGAGUGGUGAUUUGGGAUCGGUUUUCCUUGGC